ACCAUGUUCAAAGUUCAAAGUAAAGUUAUUAUCAAAGUCUGUAGAUGUCACCAUAUACAACACUGAGGUUUGUUUUUCUUGCAGGCAUUCACAAUAGAACAAAAUACUUCAGAAUCAGUGAAAAACUACACACAAAGAUUGACAAAUCAACCAAUGUGCAAACAAAGACAUUCUGUGCAAAUACCAAAAAAAAACAAAUAAAUAAUACUCUUGGCAGCGUGGAAGAUCAGAGUGGGGUCCAAGUCCAUAGGACACUCAAAGCUGCUGUGCAGGUUGACUCUGUGGUUAAGAAAGCAUACAGUGCCUUGGCCUUCAUCAAUCGUGGGAUUGAGUUUAGGAGUCGAGAGGAGGAAGACACAGGAGCACCAGGACUCGGACUGCCAGACUGGGUAACAGCUUCUUCUCUCGGGCUGUGAGACUAAUUGUACUCUGCCACCAUCAAGGUCUCGUCACUAUGGCGACGCUGCCUGACCCGCAGAGUUCAUCCAGCAUUUUGUGCGUUCUACUCUGGAUUCCCAGCAUCUGAAGAAUCUCUUGUGCUUAAGGUCCUCAAGUCCCGGAAGCACCUUGUGAAUUUUCCUGAACUCUUUCAGACUCACAGACCACGGGCCUGUUUCUACUCUGUACUUGGAAUGAUCAGAACAGACCGCGCGGGGUUGACGAAAAGGGAGUUGCGAUCUGGAAUGCAAUGCUCAGCAGAUUCAGCGGGAACUUCCCACAGGGAUUUGGGUAAACACUUGGAAACAAAAAAUGCAGGGCUGUGAGGAAAAGAGGAGGGAGAGGAAGGAUGGAAUGGAGAUCCAGAACAGGUGGGACGGGCUGAAUGGCCUCCUCUUGAGCUGCAACCAUUCCGUUAUCGAUCUUAGCUAAAAACCAGAUUUUCUCCUGGGGAUGAAGCAACCUGAAUCAUUAAAUCUUUUCAUCUGGUAAUGUUGGCAGCAUUCACCACUACUCCGAACUGAUUCUACAAUCCACAGAUUCAGUUUCCAAGGACUCUUUAUAAAUCAUGUUCUCAGUAUUAUUUUUAUUUGCACAGUUUGUCUUCUUAUGCACGUAGGUUGUUUGUCAGUCUUUGUCUGUUUAUGUAUAGUUUUUCAAAAAAUUCUAUUGUACUUCUUUUCCUGCAAAAGACUGCAUGAAAAUGAAUCUCAAGGUAGUAUAUGGUAGCAUACACUGAAUAUCUACUUUGAUUAUAAAUUUACUUUGAUCUUUGAGAGAGAUUCAGUGCCGGCAGAAGUUUCUGCAACAUUCAAGCAGUGACAUAAAUGCAAACUGUCAGUCAGUAUUGGUUCUGGUUUAUUUCUGAGAAACAGUGAAGAGCAGGUCUUGCUUACUGUUCAUACAGAUCAAAUCAUUACACAGUGCACCGAGGUAGAAUAAGGUGAAAUAAUACCAAUUUAGAAUAAACACUACUCCAAAGGUGCAGUGCAGCGAUGAAGUGCAAGGUCAUAACGAGGUAGGUAUUGAGGCCGAGAGCCUGGUUUAAGAUGGCGCUGGUGUUGCCCAGGUGAGUAGAGGCAAGGUGAUGUGAGCGGAGGUGAGGCAGAGUCAAGACAAGUGGAGGUGGAGGUGGGCUUGAAGCAGAGCCGAGGCAUCCCUGAGAGCCAGGAAAGACCCAACGUCUGAUCGAUUUAAGUGCCGGGCCGAAUUGGAAAGUUGGGUAUGAGCCAGAUUGUGGCGACGGGGCCCGGGGCCCAGAGCCGUUCGAGAGCGAGAAACCAUCUGAUGCUUGGACAAUUUAAGCGCCGGGCCGGAUUGAGAAGGUCAGGGUGUCGGGACCAGAGGCGAGGGCUGGGUUGAUUCUGUUUACUGCUCCACAAUGUUAACUCAGCUCUGCAGUGGACUGUGCCUCCCCUCAAUGGACUCGGUGGCCUCUUCCAGCUGCAGUGCUGUCUGGCUUUGCAUCUUGAUCUUCUUUUAAUGGGUUCUUUUUUGGUUUCUUUGUUUUAUGGCUGCCUGUAAGAGGACAAAUCUCAAGGGUGUAUAAUGUAUAUAUACCUUAAUAAUUAAUGUCCUUUGAACUUCUUAUCGUACAAGAAGAGUUUGAUAACAGUGGGAUAGAAGCUGUCCUUGAGCAUGGUGACAGGAGCUUUCAGGCUUUAGUAUCUUCUACCCGAUGGAAGAAUGUCCAGGGAGGGUGGGGUCUUUGAUUAGGCUGGCUGCUUUACUGGGGCAGUGAGAAGUACAGACAGAGUCCAUGGAGGGGAAACAGAUUACCAAGAUGUACUGAGCCGUGUCCACAGUACAACUACGUAAAGUGAAAUUGAAGAGAAUUUUGUAGGGGAAGUGUACGUUGUGCGAUGAAUGUGUUAAGGGGAUUAAACAGCAGAGUGCUUAAGAUUUGGACUUGAAGUUACAAUGUACAGCGAUGGUUCAGACACUUAGAUUGUUUGUGAAGUUGGGCAUGGAGAGGCCUGCUGACGAGGACGACCUUUGAGCCUGGGGGUUAAUCGGGUAGCCGUGGAGGAUGGCAAGAGACCAUCUAUAAAUCUCAAACACAAUCUGUAAAUUUGCCAAUGACUCAGCUGUUGUUGCCAGCAUCUUAAGUGGUGACGAGGAGGCGUACAGGAGUGAAAUAGAUCAGCUGGUUGAGUGGUGUCGCAUCAACCUCAGUAUGUCCAAGGAACUGUUUGUGGACUUCAGGAAGGGGAAGUCAGGAGAAUGCAUAACAAUCCUCACAGAGGACUGCUCGCUGAGGGAUCAGCAAGGGAAAGAAUGAACAGCUUCAAGCUCCUCCAUGCCAAUAUCUCUGUGGAUCUACCCUGAGCCCAGUAUAUUGAUGCAAUUACAAAGAAGGCACACUGGCAGCUAUAUUUCAUGAGGAAUAUGAGGAGAUAUGGUAUGUCACCAAAGACUCUAGAAAAUUGCUAUGGAUGUACUGUGGAGAACAUUCUGACUGGCUGCACCACCUGGUAUGGAGGGGCCAGUUACAGGACUGAAAAAGCUGCUGAAGGUUAUAAAUUUGGCCAGCUCUUUCAUGGCCAUGACCCUUCCACAUCUUCAAAAAGCCGUGCCCAAGUAGGCAUGAUCCACGAUGAAAUGCCCUCACCAUCCAGGACAUGCCCUCUUCUUAUUGCUAACAUCAGGGAAAUAGAGCCUGAAGCCACAGACACAGUGUUUUAUGAAUAGCAUCUACCCCUUCACCAUCAAAUUUCUGAAUGGACCAUGAACACGACCUCACUUUUUGCUUUCUCCUUGCACUAUUUAUUUUCUUAUUGUGAUUUUUGUAGUAGUUUUUUACAUCUUGCAUCAUACUCUGAUGCAUCGUACCUCUCUGAUUGGACAGGCUAGAUGCAGGAAGAUUAUUACCGAUGUUGGGGAAGUCCAGAACGAGGGGUCAUGGUUUGAGGAUAGAGGCGAAGCCUUUUAGGACUGAGAUUAGGAAAAACUUCUUCACACAGAGAGUGGUGAAUCUGUGGAAUUCUCUGCCACAGGAAACAGUUGAGGCCAGUUCAUUGGCUAUAUUUAAGAGGGAGUUAGAUAUGGCCCUUGUGGCUACGGGGAUCAGGGGGUAUGGAGGGAAGGCUGGUGCAGGGUUCUGAGUUGGAUGAUCAGCCAUGAUCAUAAUAAAUGGCGGUGCAGGCUCGAAGGGCCGAAUGGCCUACUCCUGCACCUAUUUUCUAUGUUUCUAUGUUUCUAUGUAAAACAGCAUAUUUCAUGGUAUUCACUCAGAGGCCUCCUGUACCCAAUGAAGAGGUCACUGAGUGUAUGUUCAUGGCCUUCUGCUGCUGUAGCCCACCCACUUCAAGGUUCAAUGUGUUGUGCGUUCAGAGAUGCUCUUCUGCAUAUCACUGCUGUAACUUGAGGUUAUUUGAGUUACUGUCACCUUCCUGUCGGCUUGAACCAGUCUGGCUAUUUUCCUCUGACCUCUCUUAUUAGCAAGAUAUUUUUGCCCACAGAAUUGCAGCUCACUGGAUGUCUUUUGUUUUUCCCAUCACUCUCUGUAAACUCCAGAGAACAUGUUGUGCAUGAAAAUCCCAGGAGAUCAGCAGUUUCUAAGAUACUCAAACCACUACAUCUGGCACCAGCAAUCAUUCCACAGUCAGAGUUACUUAGAUCACAUUUCUUCCCAUUCUGAUGUUUGGUCUGAAUGACAGCUGAACCUCUUGACCAUGUCUGCAUGCUUUUGUGCAUUAGGUUGCUGCCACACGAUUGGCUGAUUAGAUAGCUGCAUCAACGAGCAGGUGUACAGGUGUACCUGAUAAAGUGGACACUGAGUGUAUGCCAGUGACACUAUAUGCGAUUCUGAUCCUGAGCCAUUUACCACUGGGAGGAUGGACAGGGAAGGUAAAAUAAACCAUUGCAAAGUACAACUAGAAUGAAAGAGACGACAGAAAUCCUAAGCAACAUACACAAGUGAAUAAGUAAUCAAUGGUUUGGGCUGAGACCCUUCAUUGGGAUGAUGAUGGAUCUCGGCCCAAAACAUCGACUGUUUAAUCACUUCCAUAGACCUCCUGAGUUCCUCCAGCACUUGUGUGUGUCACUCUGGAUUUCCAGCAUCUGCAGAAUCUCUUGUGAUAUGGAAAUUCUAAGGCAUUUUCUGCAAUAGGUUCUCAUUUGUCUGCUUGGUCUAUCAGGGCAAAAGCGGACACCAGGACACAGCAAUCAGACAGAGGCACUGAAAGUGUUAAAUAGAUCAGGUGAAGAAAUGAGGAAAAACUGUUUCUUCUGUCGAAUAAAGGACACUGAACCAUAACUUUCAAAUUGGAACCAGGCAGGGUGUGUGGAGAGGGACAUGCACCACCUCACAACAAUUAAUCAUUUGGGACAUCUGUGUACGAAUGUGUGUGUGUGUGUGUGUGUCUGUCUGUCUGUCUGUAGUUAAUGGGUCACAGUAUCACACAGCACGGAAACAGGCCUUUAACCCACUGACUCCAGGUUACCAUCAAGGACCUAUCCACACUAAUUCUACACUAAUCCCAUUUUCUUUCUCCCCAAUGCGAUAAGUAGAUUUAAAUUAUAAACACAAGAGAUAUUCCAUUUUGGUAGUUUCCAACCUGACAGCAUGAACACAAUUUGUACAACUUCCAGUAAUUUUUUCAUCCUCUCUCUCCUCUCUUCUCCAUUCUUCAUUCUGGCCUCCCUCUCACCCUUUCUCUUCUCCUCAUCUGCCUGUCACCGCCCUCUGGCGCCCCUCCUCCUUCCCUUUCUCCCAUGGCCCACUCUCCUCUCCUGUCAGAUUCCUCCUUCUUCAGCCCAUGACCUCCCAACUUUGGUCUCACUUUCGGUGACUCUGCUGUUCAUGUUUUCUGUAUCAUUUGUUUACGUUUUACUGUUUGCACGAUUUGUUCUUUUUCGCACAUUGGAUGCUUGGAUACCUUUACUGUGUGUUUUCAUUAAGUGGGGACAAUCGUGUUUCUUCGCUUUGUGGCUGCCUGCAAGAAGAUGAAUCUCAAGGUUUUAUACUGUAUGCAUACUUUGAUAAUAAAUAUACUUUGAACUUUGGGGACAUUUAAGAAACCCAGAUUUAGGCACAUGGAUGAUAGAAAAAUUUAGGACUAUUAAGGAAGGAUGGGUUAGGUUGAUCUUAGAGUAGGUUAUAAAGUUGGCUGGCUCUAUAUUGUGGGCCAAAGGGCCUGUUGUGUACUGUGUUCUAAGUAUCUGCCCUCUAACCUUCCCUGACGGUCAAAGAGUUAGUUGCCUCUACUUCCCCACAACCUCUGUCUCUUCAGCAGAACAGAAUCCAGCUCCGCACACCCUUGAACAUCUUUCAUGAUUCAGCCUCCAUCGUUCCACCAGGGAGAGUAUUCCAAAGAUUCACCACUCUCAGGACUGAGGAAGGGUCUUGACCCAAAACGUUGACUCUUUACUCCCUUCCAUAGGUGCUGCCUGACCUGCUGAGUUCCCCCAGCAUUUUGUGUGUGUUAACCUAGAUCAGGGGUUCCCAAGCCUUUUUUUUAUGCCAUGGACCUGCUACCAUUAACGGAGGACCCGUGGGCCCCAGGUUGGGAACCCCUGACCUAGAUGUAUGCAGUCUUUUUGGAUCCACCUUAGGACGGCCGUGCUAGUCAGCCAGACUCAGAUCUUCACCGGGGGGAGAUGCUGUUCUCCACAGUGAGGGAGCAUGUGCUAAAACGCCCUCAGAAAUGUUACUUGGCUGAUGCCGUUAAUGCCUAAAGCUCCAGCUUCAUCUACAAUUUUUGUUCUAAGGUUUAGACCUCUACAUUCCUUAAGGGGAUUGUGACAGCAUGAAGUAUACACAAGGGUGAGAAGAUAAAUUAAAAGCAGCAACCUAACCGGAAAGAUAAAUAGCUGCUGUUGUUUACCUUCUACACUCAUUCCUUUAUUACUAAGCAAAGCUCAGAGCAGCAGCCCUGAGGCUAUCCAUCUUUUAUUGGACCUCAUCAUUUACAAGAACACUUCCGUACUCUCUCCAGCUGCGCCUUCUUCCAAAAAUAUAGGCACAUUCACCUUUUUAGGCCUUUCUCCCCCCUGAAAGGCAAGGAUAAUCCAAAGAAACACAUGCAAGAUAAUGGAGGAAGAGCAUCUACAGAAUUUAUCGUGUUAAGGAUAACACCAGACAACAAAGUCUUUUGAAUGCAUUGCUUCCUCAGAAUUUUUUUUUCACUAUGAUAGACCGCUUGAAGCUGAACCCAAAUAUAAUUUCAGACUACUUCUAUCACACAGCAUUUUGGAGAAACAAGAAAUGAACUUUUAUUGACUUUGAAGCAACACACACAAAAUACUGGAGGAACUCAGCAGGCCAAGCAGCAUUUAUGGAAAAGAGUAAACAGUCAACAUUUUGGGCCGAGACCCUUCAUCGGGACUGAAGAUGGAAGAUCCAGCAUCUGCAGAUUUUCUUGUCUUUGCUUUAUUGAAUAUAUUGCAUUUAGUUGCAUAGCAGUGCUGAUGCUUUGCAAUAGUUCAACUAAGCUAAAAAUGUUUUGUUGAUUUUCAUUUGUACUCAGUGUAUGAGGCUUCUCACUAGAGUGUCCAACAGUAAUCAGCCAGCAUUCAUGGUUUCCAGUUGCCCUGACACUGUUUUUCCAUGACUGCAAUGUCCUGGUGAAACCGUUCGCCAUGCUCGUCAUGUUGUCAACCAGCUACUUGUGGCUUUCAUGAUCAACAAUACAAAAUCCAUAAGAUGCACCCAAAAGUCCGGUAUAAUCCAAAUAUUGUAAGGUGAUGAAUGUACCAAGAUGAUCUUCGCCCAUUUAGUCAAUGCACUGUCAAUGUGAAAAACAAGAUUAUUCAAGGUACAUAAAAAUGUGGCACGCAAUCCAAACAAAUAUGUAACCAUACACCCUGGAGUUCUGACUUGUUCAUGUAUACCAGGCAAGAUACAUUAGCAAGAUUCCGAGCAACACCAAAAACUCCCCUUUGUUCAAGUGCUUGGUUGGGCUGCAGUUCAAUAAGCCGAAUGUUCUAGCAAGCUUCUGCCAUUCAAAGGAUGCACAGGAGAUUCUGAAGAUGCUGGAGAUCUUGAGCAACACGCACGCACAAAAUGCUGGAGGAACUCAGCAGGUCAGGCAGCAUCUAUGGAGGGGGAAUAAAGAGUCGACCUUUUGGGCUGAGACCCUUCAUCAGAAUCAGGUUUAAUAUCGCCGGCGUACGUUGUGAAGUCUGUUGUUUUGCAACAGCACUAUAUUGCAAUACAUAAUAAUAAAAAUUAAAUUACAGUAGGAAGUUAAAUUAAAUAAGCAGUCCAAAAAUGUUGUGAGGUAGAGUUCAUGUCCAUUCGGAAAUCAGAUGACAGAAGGGAAGAAGCUAUUCCCGAAUUGUGUGUCUUCAGGCUCCUGUACCUCCUUCCUGAUGGUAGCAAUGAGAAGAGGGCAUGACCUGGGGAGACGGGGGUCCUUAAUGAUGGACGCUGCCUUCCUGAGGCAUCGCUCCUUGAAGGUGUCCAGGAGGCUAGUGCCCAUGAUGGAGCUGACUGAGCUUACAACUUUCUGCAGCUUGUGUUGAUCCUGCGCAGUGCCUACCCACCACUCCCAUACCAGACGGUGAUGCAGCCAAUUAGAAUGCUCUCCAUGGCGUAUCUGUAGAAAAAAAGAGAGGAAGGGGGAAGCAGCCAGAAUAAUAAGGUGGGGGGGGAGAGGAGGAGUACAAACUAGUUUUAAAGACUCUACAACAAUAGCGAGGUGACCUACAGGAAAGAAGUCAUCUCUCUGACACAGUGGGGUCAAGAAAACCACAUCUCCCUCAAUGUCACAAAUAAAAGGAGCUGGUUGUGGAUUACAGGAGGAAUGGAGACGGGCUAACCCCUAUUGACAUCAAUAGAUCUGGGGUUGAGAGGGUGAACAGCUUUAAGUUCCUCGGCAUCCACAUCACCAAGAACCUCACGUGGUCUGCACACACCAGCUGUGUGGUGAAAAAGGCACAACAGCACCUCUUUCACCUCAGACAGUUGAGGAAGUUUGGUAUAGGCCCCCAAAACCUAAGUACUUUCUGCAGGGGCACAAUUGAGAGCAUCCCGACUGGCUGCAUCACUGUCUGGUAUGGGAACUGUACUUCCCUUAAUCGCAGGAUUCUGCAGAGAGUGGUGUGGACAGCCCAGUGCAUCUGUAGUUGUGAACUUCCCAAGAUUCAGGACAUUUACAAGGACAGGUGUGUAAAAAGGGCCCGUAGGAUCAUUGGGGACCCGAGUCACCCCAACCACAAUCUAUUCCAGCUGCCACCAUCCGGGAAAAGUUACAGCAGCAUAAAAGCCAGGACCAACAAGUUCUGGAACAGCUUCUUCCACCAGGCCAUCAGACUGAUGAACUCACACUGAUUUGAGUGUACUCUAUAUUAUAUUGACUGUUCUAUUUAUUAUAAAUUAUUAUAAAUUACUACGAUUGCACGUGGCACAUUUAGAUGGAGACGUAACAUAGAGAUUUUUAUUCCUCAUGUAUGUGAAAGGAUGUAAAAAAUAAAGUCAAUUCAAUUCAAAACUCAUCUUCUCAGUAUUAUUUGUUUAUUUGCAGUAUUUAUUUUUAUUGCAUAGUUUGUCUUCUCUUGCACGUUGCUUGUUUGUCGGUUUUUGUGUAUAGUUUCUCUUUGAUUCUAUAGUAUUUUUUUCUGUUCUACCGCUAAUGUCU